rnacentral:misc_RNA from 1 species
GUGAAUCAUCGAAUUUUUGAACGCAAAUUGCGCUUCCUGGUAUCCCGGGAAGUAUGCCUGUUUGAGGGUCAGUAUUAACAAAAAAUCGGUUUGGUUGCAAAUUGUGACGUUUCCGGAGUUCGGGCACAUCUUAACUUUUUUGGUUAAGGGGCUUAAAAUUGACCUUUUUUGUGCACUUUCAGACGUACAUAAAUUUUUUUUUUAUUCGUCUAUUUUUCUUUUAAAAUCUUUC